rnacentral:rRNA from 1 species
UCGGUAAGGUGAUAUGAACCGUUAUAACCGGCGAUUUCCGAAUGGGGAAACCCAGUGUGUUUCGACACACUAUCAUUAACUGAAUCCAUAGGUUAAUGAGGCGAACCGGGGGAACUGAAACAUCUAAGUACCCCGAGGAAAAGAAAUCAACCGAGAUUCCCCCAGUAGCGGCGAGCGAACGGGGAGCAGCCCAGAGCCUGAAUCAGUGUGUGUGUUAGUGGAAGCGUCUGGAAAGGCGCGCGAUACAGGGUGACAGCCCCGUACACAAAAAUGCACAUGCUGUGAGCUCGAUGAGUAGGGCGGGACACGUGGUAUCCUGUCUGAAUAUGGGGGGACCAUCCUCCAAGGCUAAAUACUCCUGACUGACCGAUAGUGAACCAGUACCGUGAGGGAAAGGCGAAAAGAACCCCGGCGAGGGGAGUGAAAAAGAACCUGAAACCGUGUACGUACAAGCAGUGGGAGCCUCUUUUAUGGGGUGACUGCGUAC